rnacentral:rRNA from 1 species
AACGAACGCUGGCGGCAUGCCUAACACAUGCAAGUCGAACGAGCCCUUCGGGUCUAGUGGCGCACGGGUGCGUAACGCGUGGUAACCUGCCCUUAGGUUCGGAAUAACUCCCCGAAAGGGGUUCUAAUACCGGAUAAUGUCUUCUGACCAAAGAAUUAUCGCCUUUGGAUGGGCCCGCGUUGGAUUACCUAGUUGGUAUGGUAAAAGCCUACCAAGGCGACGAUCCAUAGCUGGUCUGAGAGUAUGGUCAGCCACGCUGGAACUGAGACACGGCCCAGACUCCUACGGGAAGCAGCAGUGGGGAAUAGUGGAAAAUGGGGGAAAGCCUGAUCCAGCUAUGCCGGGUGAGUGAAGAAGGCGUUAGGGUUGUAAAGCUCUUUUACCCGGGAUGAUAAUGACAGUACCGGGAGAAUAAGCUACGGCUAACUCCGUG